GAGGAUAUAGCUCAGUGGUAGAGGGCAUGCAUGAGGCCCUGGGUUCAAUCCCCGGUACCUCCA
rnacentral:tRNA from 1 species